AUGAACUCUGAACACUCUCAGCCCCACUGUAGCAACUUCUCCAUAGACCGUAGUACAGUGAUUGCUGUCGGAGGCAGCCAGCAGAUUGCCCCUCCUGCAGAUUCACCACAUCUUCAAGUUCCACUGUGGAACCCCCCACAGAUGGGACAUCUUGUUUCAGACAACAGUGAUCAAGCUGGCGAGGAGUUCCUGAGAUGUAUUGCAGCCAACAAACCUCUACCAGAUUAUCUCAAAGGCAAUAUGGCAUUAAACCUGGCUGAUGCACUCAAGUCUGCUGAAACACUGAAAGUUUCAGUCAAGUCGGUGACCAAGAGUAAGAGCCGUAGUCGAAGUCAAAGCCGAACCCGUGGCAGAUCUCGAGCCAAGAGCCGAGCAAGGAGUCGAAGCAGAGGAAGGAGCAAAAGUCAUGUUCGUGGCAAGAGUCGAGCCAAAAGCCAAACGCGGGCUUGCAGUAGGAGUCGGAGCCGGGGCAAGCAGAGUCACAAACGGAGCAAAAGUCGAGUCAGAAGAUCUAGGUCCCGAAGCAGCAGUAGUGAAAAGAGCCAUGGCAAAGACAGGAAGAGGAAGAGAAGCCCUGACAUCAGCAGCAACAAUCUGACUGGAAACCGUCUGUUUGAAGGACUCAAACUAGUCAUGAACAGCAAAGAUGUGGAAGAGCGGUUGCCCUCUCUCAAAGAUGCCAUCCUUGGUAUUCAGGCUUCAUGUGGAAAAAAGACAGUGGAGAACGUGUCUGAUGAGCCCAAACAUCAGCAAUAUGACAGCAUCGACCCUUUCACAACACUGGAGAAUGAAAGCAUCUUGCUUCCACAUGAAAGAGUAGUUGGUGACUUCUCUUGGCUUCAAGAAAAAAGCCAGGAGGAAAUUUCUGUCCUGAAAGCCAAAGAGUUUGAAGAAGAAGAGUCAUUUUUGUAUGGGUCUGGGGGUUACCUCCAAACUGAAGAACAUGCCAAACAUCUUGGUGCACAAGAACCCCUUCAGAUGGCAUCAUCUGCCUUUGCCAAUGCCAGUCUGGAUAAGUUGGAGUUUGACAAAAUCAAGAAAAUCCUCGAUAGUUUGGGAGGAACAUCGGAUAUUGGCAAGAUGGUAAUGAAUACUCAAAUGAUAAAGGAAGGCAGUGAAGCCUUUCCUGCUAUUUUAAAUUCAGACGUAGCAGUGGAGACUCUGAAAAACCCAAGUGUACGGAAAUCCCUGGAGUCGUUGCAGUCUCUGAUCAGAGCAACAAAGGACAAACGGGCAAGAAGCAACGGACAAUCAGAAACCUCCUCUGAAAAACAGAAGGCUGGCGACAAUGAAAAGAAGAAAAAAGACAAACAAACUAAAAUAAAAGAACUGGAAUCACUGGCACAAGAAUUGGAUGUUUUGCUUCGAGAGGAUGGAAUAGGCUUCAUGUCUCCAGUGAUCGGGUUUUACUGCCAGAAGUGUGAAGAGUUCAUCGGAGAUUUGAAGUCUGUUGAGACUCACGCGGCUGUCCACAUUCAUAGUACCUCCAGCUGCGAAAGGGGACCCUGUUUUGAAGCUCGAAUCACCUCCCUGCAGGUUCUCGGGUUCUUCAGAUGGCUCUAAAUCCUCCGAGAAUUCUGCCAGCAGAUGGAGACAAAUCAUCAUGGAUGUCCUCUCUCCUCCAGCCCAGCAAAGCAGCUGAUGCCUUUUGGGGAACUGAAGUGGAGUUUGUCUCCACUUUAUCAAAAUCCAGAACGGUCAUGUUUUCUGCCUGCUUGCAGAAAGGCAUCCCUCUCCAAAGAAGGCUAGACAGCAGAUAAAUCUGAAGUCGAAGCAGAUCUUCUAGUUAAGGUGAAAACACGCAGCAACGAUCACUAACCUGCAGAAGUAACGCUGAUAAUGCAGUCUGAUCCUCUAAUGUGUUAAAAAACUGAAAGUGCAGAAAGUCUAAGAAAGCUGAGUUAAAACUGGAGUUAAAGAAACUCUCAAAAUAAACCGGUUUCUAGUCAAAUAUAAAACAUUUGUUGCUUAUAAAAGGAGUUUUAUUUCUGUUUAUUUCUUUUGGGUGUGUAACACCUCUAACCCUGCACAGACAACAGCCAGCUCUUAUUCUGAAAAUCUGACGGCACAUUUCCCAUAAACAAGAUUAGACACGUUUUUACGUCAUUGGGGUAGAUCAGGUAGAUGGAAGCAGAAAAGAUAAAAACCUGGUAAAGAACAAAAAGCUGCAGUUUAUGUUUUUGCUUAAUUUGUUUCAGAUAAAGAAAAUGUCCAAUUUUUUGUUGUUUAAUCAAUAAAACACACAAAAGUAACAUUUUUAAACAUCGACAUACAUAUAUAUGGACAAUGGGUUUCCAUAGACUCCAAAAAUACAUUGAGUUAAAAUGGGAGGUGGCUACCACCGCCAUUUUGAUCAUGUCACAGGUUCCGUCAAGCCCAGGGAAUUCCACAAAAGGGAAGAGAGGUGGGGCUGUAAGGCUCGGAUCAAAUGACGACACCCGUCAAACUGAAGCUAAUGUAGCUACAAGCUAACCCAAAGCUAACGCGGAGGUGGGAGCUAAGGUAACGGAGGUAGCAACCUAGCUACAACCAAAGUUAACUGUGUACAACACCAGAGCUUCUGAGUCACAGAUACGCCGGGCUGACCGCUGGGUAAAACCGGGUGGAACACAGAGGUCUCCCGAGAGCUUCACAAGCCGGCAGCCACGCCCCNNNNNNNNNNNNNNNNNNNNNNNNNNNNNNNNNNNNNNNNNNNNNNNNNNNNNNNNNNNNNNNNNNNNNNNNNNNNNNNNNNNNNNNNNNNNNNNNNNNNNNNNNNNNNNNNNNNNNNNNNNNNNNNNNNNNNNNNNNNNNNNNNNNNNNNNNNNNNNNNNNNNNNNNNNNNNNNNNNNNNNNNNNNNNNNNNNNNNNNNNNNNNNNNNNNNNNNNNNNNNNNNNGAGAUAAAUCUCAGUUGCCUAAUGUAAAUAAGUGUAAUUUUUUAAUCAUCUCAGUGGGGUUAACAACAGCCUGUCGAGUCAUUUUAAGACACUGGAAAGCAGUAGAAUCUCCAGAGGUUAAGGAAUGGGUCUGUGCAAUGGCUGAAUCUGCAUCAUAUGAAUGUAUGCUCAGUAAAAUGAGUGAAGACAACAGAGAGGGAACUUCUCACUGGGAUGGAUUCUGGAACUUUAUAAAGACAGACAAAGGCCUUGGGUGAAAUCAAGCACGUUAUGUGACUGCUGUUGUUCCGACAUUACAUGUCUGCAGGAGUUAUAUGAAUGGGACUUGUAUCCAAAAUCAACUGUUAUAACUGUAUGUUUAGUCCCUCCAUGUUUAGUAUCUAUUGAGACUGCUAUGUACCAGCCCCUCAAAGAAAGUUCAAUAAAAACUUGAAUUUCAAAAAAAAAUAAAACCAUGGGAGUCAACGGGGAUUUGCUUGCUUCUGACACCAGCCCCUAGUGGAUCCGAGUGGAACUGCAAUUUAUUUCAUUUCUGCAUUGGCCUCAAUUUCAGAUUCGCAUUGUGGGGGCUUGGUUUUAAACUGGACAAACGUAAAAACGGAAGGGUCGAUGUCUUACCUGCAUUACUGUUGGUUCUAUUUUCAGGCAUACAAAAAUAUUAAUUUGAUGUAUGUUUUACCUUCAAAUAAACAUUAAUGGUUUUGAAUUUCUCUCCCUGGGCUGCCACCUUACCCUGGUGAAGGGGUUUGAGUGUCUCAAUUAUCCUAGGAGCUAAGUUGUCUGAGGCUUUCUGCCUCGUAGGGUCACCCAUGGCAAACAGGUCCUAGGUGAGGGAUCAGACAAAGAGCAGCCCUAAGACCUCUUAUGAUGAAUUAUAUAAAUGGAGACUGUGUUCCCUCGCCCAGACGUGGGUCACCGGGGCCCCCCUCUGGAGUCCAUGGAGCCCGGCUGGGCACAGCGCAAAGAGGAAACAUGGGUCCCGCUUCCCAUGGGCUCACCACUCGUGGGAGGGGCCAAAGGGGUCGGGUGCAGUGUGUGACAGGUGAUAGUCGAGGGCGGGGACCUUGGCGGUCUGAUCCUCGGCUACAGAAGCUGGCUCUUGGCACAUGGAAUGCCACCUCUCUGGUGUGGAAGGAGCCUGAGUUAGUGUGUGAGGUUGAGAGGUUCGGACUAGAUAUAGUCGGAUUCACCUCAACGCAUGGGCCUGGAGAGGUGUGGUUGGGAAGAACAGCCCCCGAUCUGAAUUUGAGUGGUGUUUUGUUCUGUGCCAGUCAUGGAUUGUCCAUAAUGAACACCAUGUUCAGACAUAAAGGUGCUCUUGGCACCAGGAUACCUUAAGUACACUGUGUGACUUUUUCACUUUUUUGAGCCGAUUUUCCACUCGUGCGAGAAUCCACGAGAUCGGGGCGAGUUUUGUGCCGAGCGUCGUGUAGUGUGCAGGGCAUUACGAGAGGCGAUUAACACCACGUGACCAGCUACCGAUCAGCAAUCGUGAGCUCGCACAAACUUCUGGCGUGUUUGAAAUUUUGCUCGUCCCUCGUGAGGGUAUUGCACUGUUGAAGCAGCGCUGCGAGCAGCUGCAACCCAAAAAGUAUCAGAACCGCUCACGGCACAUGCGCAAUCCUGCAUCAACACUGCUCGCCCGCUAUUUCCCUAAUAACACACGUUCGUUUUUAUUUCCACACAUUUUUUACUCACAAAGGUUGUCAAGAAAGCGUGUUUUUGUCGUGUUCAUGUCGAAUUAAACUGAUCACAAAACACAGAUAUACUUUCUUUUUUUCGUUGUCCUCAUCCAACCCCCAUAAAUCCCUGUGUGUCCUCCUGCAGCACUCCCGAAGGACAUUAGGAAAAACAAGACAAAAAACUCUGACGUGUUGUGUAAAAACUGCUAUUUUUAGCAUAUUUUUUAGGGCCAAUGUGUUGCUACCAGACGUACAGUGUGAGCAGUCAGGUCGCAUCCGAGAACUGGGUCGUGCAGUGUGAGCGCAUGACUCGUGAGAUCUGCCCUGUGAGGAAGUCGUACAGUUUGACCUGAAGCUGAGUGCUACGAGUGAAAAAGUCGCACAGUGUACGCCCGGCUUAAGGGAGAUCAACCACUUUAGUUUCUGUACAUUUAAAUAAACUGAGCCUUUAGCUAGCUUAGGGCUGACUCGACCCUGGGUGAGUAGAUUGUAGAGCAAGCCUGUCACAAUAACAUAUUGGCCAUUAGAGUUUGCUAAAAUUGAGGAAGGAGCAAAAGAGACUUCAUUAAAAUGGUAACACCCCUGGCUUUCCCUUCAAAGGUUGAAUCAAAAAGCUGUCCAAUCCAUCCACACUUCGAACGGACAUUGUCUGAGGUGUGUUUCUUCAAGGAAAGUAAUGCCAGCACCCAAAUUUUUCAGAUUUGUAAGAGCCUUUUUUCUUUAAACUGGAUGAUUAAGGCCUUUACCAUUCCAAGUAGCAAUAUCAAGAUAAGAAGCCAUCACCCAUACAUGUCACAAUUGUGUUGCACAAUUAGUGAAGGCUUGGACCCAAAAUGUAGUACCUAAAACGACACAAAGUGAGAUAUUGAAAAAAAUGUAAAUCUUUAUUUUAAGGAAGGUCAAGGCAAAAAUCCAAAAGGCUCCAAAAAAGCAAAGUGGAGCCAAC
ensembl:lncRNA